UACGUAGGGUGCAAGCGUUAAUCGGAAUUACUGGGCGUAAAGCGUGCGCAGGCGGUUUUGUAAGUCUGUCGUGAAAUCCCCGGGCUCAACCUGGGAAUUGCGAUGGAGACUGCAAGGCUAGAAUCUGGCAGAGGGGGGUAGAAUUCCACGUGUAGCAGUGAAAUGCGUAGAGAUGUGGAGGAACACCGAUGGCGAAGGCAGCCCCCUGGGUCAAGAUUGACGCUCAUUGCACGAAAGCGUGGGGAGCAAA
rnacentral:rRNA from 1 species